AGUGAACGCUGGCGGUAGGCCUAACACAUGCAAGUCGAACGGCAGCACAGUAAGAGCUUGCUCUUACGGGUGGCGAGUGGCAGACGGGUGAGGACUACAUCGGAAUCUACUUUUUCGUGGGGGAUAACGUAGGGAAACUUACGCUAAUACCGCAUACGACCUACGUGUGAAAGCAGGGGAUCUUCGGACCUUGCGCGAUUGAAUGAGAUGAUGUCGGAUUAGCUAGUUGGCGGGGUAAAGGCCAACCAAGGCGACGAUCCGUAGCUGGUCUGAGAGGAUGAUCAGCCACACUGGAACUGAGACACGGUCCAGACUACUACGGGAGGCAGCAGUGGGGAAUAUUAGACAAUGGUCGCAAGCCUGAUCCAGCCAUACCGCGUGGGUGAAGAAGGCCUUCUGGUUGUAAAGCCCUUUUGUUGGGAAAGAAAAGCAGCAGGUUAAUACCCCGCUGUUCUGACGGUACCCAAAGAAUAAGCACCGGCUAACUUCGUG
rnacentral:rRNA from 1 species